GGGCCCGUAGCUCAGCCAGGUAGAGCACCGGGCUUUUAAAGCACUUGUGCUUUCCACUAGCUGAGGUAACUCGGUGGACCCCUGUUUUAAAAUGGGGGCCGAAUCAAGGGUUCGAUUCCCUUCGGGCCCG
rnacentral:tRNA from 1 species